rnacentral:rRNA from 1 species
AUUGAACGCUGGCGGCAGGCCUAACACAUGCAAGUCGAGCGAGCGGCGGACGGGUGAGUAAUGUCUGGGAAACUGCCUGAUGGAGGGGGAUAACUACUGGAAACGGUAGCUAAUACCGCAUACCAUCAGAUGUGCCCAGAUGGGAUUAGCUAGUAGGUGGGGUAAAGGCCUACCAAGGCGACGAUCUGUAGCGGGUCUGAGAGGAGGAUCCGCCAAACUGGGACUGAGACACGGCCCAGACUCCUACGGGAGGCAGCAGUGGGGAAUAUUGGACAAUUGGGGGAACCCUGAAUCAGCCAAGCCGCGUGUGUGGAGAAGGCCUUAUGGUUGUAAAGCACUUUAAGCGAGGAGGCGUUACCCGCAGAAGAAGCACCGGCUAACUCCGUGCCAGCAGCCGCGGUAAUAC